rnacentral:rRNA from 1 species
GUAUGCAAUUAUGAUACCACUCAUUUACAUCAGGUCAAAGUGCAGCUAAUGAAGAGGUGACGAUGGGUUACACCCUAAAUAAAGACACGGAAUGCGAUAUUAAAAAUCUCAUAAAGGUGGACUUGGCCGUAACAGUAACUCAAAGUUACAAUGAAAACGAAUCUAAGACAUGCACACAUCGCCCGUCACUCUCGCCCAAAGGCGAGAUAAGUCGUAACAAAGUAGGUGUAACGGAAGUUGCACCUGU